rnacentral:rRNA from 1 species
UACGUAGGGGCAAGCGUUGUCCGGAUUCAUUGGGCGUAAAGAGCGUGUAGGCGGCCAGGCAGGUCCGCUGUGAAAACUCGAGGCUCAACCUCGAGAUGUCGGUGGAACCGUCUGGCUAGAGUCCGGAAGAGGAGAGUGGAAUUCCCGGUGUAGCGGUGAAAUGCGCAGAUAUCGGGAAGAACACCCGUGGCGAAGGCGGCUCUCUGGGACGGUACUGACGCUGAGACGCGAAAGCGUGGGAGCGAACAGG